GACGUAGGGCGCGAGCGUUGUCCGGAUUUAUUGGGCGUAAAGAGCUCGUAGGCGGCUUGUUGCGUCGACUGUGAAAACCCGCGGCUCAACCGCGUGGCUUGCAGUCGAUACGGGCAGGCUAGACUUCGGUAGGGGAGACUGGAAUUCCUGGUGUAGCGGUGAAAUGCGCAGAUAUCAGGAGGAACACCGGUGGCGAAGGCGGGUCUCUGGGCCGAUAUUGACGCUGAGGAGCGAAAGCGUGGGGAGCGAACAGG
rnacentral:rRNA from 1 species